rnacentral:rRNA from 1 species
AAAUUGAAGAGUUUGAUCAUGGCUCAGAUUGAACGCUGGCGGCAGGCCUAACACAUGCAAGUCGAGCGGUAGCACAGAGAGCUUGCUCUCGGGUGACGAGCGGCGGACGGGUGAGUAAUGUCUGGGAAACUGCCUGAUGGAGGGGGAUAACUACUGGAAACGGUAGCUAAUACCGCAUAACGUCGCAAGACCAAAGUGGGGGACCUUCGGGCCUCAUGCCAUCAGAUGUGCCCAGAUGGGAUUAGCUAGUAGGUGGGGUAAUGGCUCACCUAGGCGACGAUCCCUAGCUGGUCUGAGAGGAUGACCAGCCACACUGGAACUGAGACACGGUCCAGACUCCUACGGGAGGCAGCAGUGGGGAAUAUUGCACAAUGGGCGCAAGCCUGAUGCAGCCAUGCCGCGUGUAUGAAGAAGGCCUUCGGGUUGUAAAGUACUUUCAGCGAGGAGGAAGGCAUUAAGGUUAAUAACCUUGGUGAUUGACGUUACUCGCAGAAGAAGCACCGGCUAACUCCGUGCCAGCAGCCGCGGUAAUACGGAGGGUGCAAGCGUUAAUCGGAAUUACUGGGCGUAAAGCGCACGCAGGCGGUCUGUCAAGUCGGAUGUGAAAUCCCCGGGCUCAACCUGGGAACUGCAUUCGAAACUGGCAGGCUAGAGUCUUGUAGAGGGGGGUAGAAUUCCAGGUGUAGCGGUGAAAUGCGUAGAGAUCUGGAGGAAUACCGGUGGCGAAGGCGGCCCCCUGGACAAAGACUGACGCUCAGGUGCGAAAGCGUGGGGAGCAAACAGGAUUAGAUACCCUGGUAGUCCACGCCGUAAACGAUGUCGACUUGGAGGUUGUGCCCUUGAGGCGUGGCUUCCGGAGCUAACGCGUUAAGUCGACCGCCUGGGGAGUACGGCCGCAAGGUUAAAACUCAAAUGAAUUGACGGGGGCCCGCACAAGCGGUGGAGCAUGUGGUUUAAUUCGAUGCAACGCGAAGAACCUUACCUACUCUUGACAUCCAGAGAACUUAGCAGAGAUGCUUUGGUGCCUUCGGGAACUCUGAGACAGGUGCUGCAUGGCUGUCGUCAGCUCGUGUUGUGAAAUGUUGGGUUAAGUCCCGCAACGAGCGCAACCCUUAUCCUUUGUUGCCAGCGGUUCGGCCGGGAACUCAAAGGAGACUGCCAGUGAUAAACUGGAGGAAGGUGGGGAUGACGUCAAGUCAUCAUGGCCCUUACGAGUAGGGCUACACACGUGCUACAAUGGCAUAUACAAAGAGAAGCGACCUCGCGAGAGCAAGCGGACCUCAUAAAGUAUGUCGUAGUCCGGAUUGGAGUCUGCAACUCGACUCCAUGAAGUCGGAAUCGCUAGUAAUCGUAGAUCAGAAUGCUACGGUGAAUACGUUCCCGGGCCUUGUACACACCGCCCGUCACACCAUGGGAGUGGGUUGCAAAAGAAGUAGGUAGCUUAACCUUCGGGAGGGCGCUUACCACUUUGUGAUUCAUGACUGGGGUGAAGUCGUAACAAGGUAACCGUAGGGGAACCUGCGGUUGGAUCACCUCCUUACCUUAAAGAA